GCUGACUUCGGACCCACGAACUUCAUUACAUUUGGAGAUGGUUCUGUAAUUGGUGUUUUGGACUGGGAAUCUGCUGGAUACUCCCCAAAAUUCUGGAUUGCUACCAAACCGCUUGUUUCUGCCGGACUCUUCUCUCCUCCAGGUUCCGAGAGUAGAGUGGCUUGGGCCGAACUUCUUGCCAGCGCGCUGGAGGAAGAGGGGUUUCUGCGGAGAAUUGACCGAUAUGAGACUUCGAGGAACGUUGUGCUGUCUCCAAAUCUAACCACAGGCAAUAUGGCUGCUUCGUUGGCUGCGCACACAUAUGACCCUGAUUUUCAUGGUGUCCC
rnacentral:sRNA from 1 species